AGAGUAGAAAUGAGCCAAGGAUGACUUGCCUGAUACACAUUGCUUGGGGAUAAAAUGUUCAGACAAGUCGUCCUUGGUUCACCAUUGCUCU
rnacentral:pre_miRNA from 1 species